rnacentral:lncRNA from 1 species
AUGGAAAAGGAGAAAAAACUAGGAAGCAAAAGUCCUGGAUCCAAGAGAGCGCAGGCCACUGAGUUAAAGAGUGGAAGCAAGGAGAAACUGCUCAGCAGGCUGAUCCUGAGAGAAUCCAGCAUCCCCAAACUCAGGAGCAGCAAAUUCACAGGCAGCAGGUUCCACCUGAAAUGUUUGGCAGAGACCUUUUGUGCCUGGAUGGAAGAGGUUGGGCAUGUCAUGGAAUGGUGCAUUGAGAAUGCCAAAAGUAUUGGAAUUUGUAGGGGAAAAAGGGAUAAAGGAACUCCUUUUGGCACCUCUGGUGUCUUUUGGAUGCAGUGUGUAUUGUGAGGUGAGCUGGGUGAUCAUCACCAAAUGAAUUAUUGGUGUUGAAAAUGAAAUCUGCAACUUUUGCAUCCAAAAUCUCAGUGUCUUAAUGAAACAAAAGGAGCAGCAGGAAGAGCAGGGACAAAAGGGAAUGGCUUUGUUUGUGUGGCUGACAUGAGGUGUGAUGGUAAUCCAUUAUUCUGAUGGAAUGUGCAGCAGCUGAUGGGUCCCACGUCCCCUGCAGGAAACAGUGAAUUGUUUAUUUCUCUUUUAUUAAUCCAUCACUUACCUGAAGAGCUCAAAUACCUGGGAACAUCAGGUGGGUCUUGUGCCCAGCAGAUGCUCUCAGUCUUGCCUUUCACUAAUGUGCACAGAUCUGAAUUUGUUUGUACCUCUGGAUGUAGAAUCCCAGGAAAUCCCAGAAUCCUGGACUGGUUUGUGUUGGGAGGGACCUUAAAUCCCAUUUCGUUCCAGUCCUUCCACCUUCCACCAGCCCAGCCUGGAUAGUUUUGCCUGACUGCACCUGUAAUGCCAAAAGAAUGUUUGGAAUUACAAUUCUAAUUCACUCAUUCCAUAAAAAUUAUAAAAUAUAUAUGGCUGGUGUGACUUCAAAGCUGCAGAAGCACAUGGAAAUUUAUCUUUUUAGGAGAGCUACAAAUGCAACUGCUGGGGUUGGGUACGUUACUCUUAAUUAGAAGGGAAUUUAAUGAACUAAAUUAAAUUAUUGCAAGGUGGUUUAUCAGUGUGACAACAUCAGGGCAGCAGCACAACUGAAGUUACACUGGACUAUUCUAUUUUUUAAUAAGAGAUUUCAUUUAAUAAUUUUUUUUUUGCUUCUGCAGCAGUAUUGAAACACAAUGAAAGUAUUUUAGGUUGAUUCAAAGCAUAAACGUGGAGGGUUUGGUUCGGAAGCUCCAGAAAAGGAGUCAAAGUCAUAUAAAUAUUUCAUGGAAAAUGUAAUCAACAGGAGGAAAUUCCUUAAGGAAAUACCUGCAUGUCUUAGCUCAGCAUCCUCUUCCUCCUGGAACAGCUCUUUUCUUGGGAGGCUGAUACCACCUAGACAGGAACACUGGGGGGAAAAGGUGAAUACUUAAACCUACAAAAUAAAAUAUUUUAAAUAUCUGUAAAUAUCUAUCCCUAACCUAAGGAAAAAAAAAAGUAUAUUUCUCUGAUAUUUUCUCUUUUCUCUGAAUUUAUUCCUCCUUUCUUGAGUUUCUCUGGAACUAUUUGCUAUAGGAAUUUUGUUUGUGCCAUUAAUAGCAAACGAUUCAUUUCUGAAUUCUUUCAGCAGUGCACUUUAAAUUUGAAUGACUUAAAUUCAGGGACACCUUCAGCCCAUCAAAAAUGACUAAAAAAAGGCAAUUUUUGAAGAGGUAAUUGCUGUAGGUAGAAUUAAUGAGCACUGAUUACAGGUGAAGCAGUGUCCACCCUCAAAUUGGAAAAUUAAUGGUAAAAUUAAUUACUCUGUUAUUACCAUCACUACAUUUUAUGAUGUUUGAGCAGAUCCAUAAUUUCUGCUGUAAUAGCUUGAUCUGGUGAUCAUUUUUGAGGAGAUAUUUUGUGUUUCAGUAUUCCUGGGAGAAAAGUGUCCCUUUUUCAUGAUCCCAGAAUUAUUUACAUCCCAUCACCUGUCACACCUCUCAUUUCCAAUGAUUUUAUUUAUUAAAAAUAAUGCAAAUAUUGCAAAAGGAGGAACAUUACCUGUUUGAGAAAAAAUUAGGGAAAAUGAAGCCCUUGAACAGAAUGUUGUCAGCUGUCAAUUUUUAAAUAAAACAAAAAUCCCUCUGAUUACUGUAGUUUUAAAACUCAUUUUAGAAGUAAAGAAAGUCCAAGAUACUUUGUGUUCCUAACUUCUUUUUGUUUGGGCUAAAGCAAUUUCUAAGAUAAUUUCUUUGGUGGAGUUUUUAAUCUGUAACUGAUAAUUAAAAUGGCACCUUGAACCUUGUCAAGAAUUAUCCAUCAUAAUUAGAUUUUCUUGAUAAGAAUUGUCACAUACACCAAAUUUAACUCCAACUCUUUUUCCAAUUUCCUUUUUCAGACUCUUUAUGCUUCAGGUUUGGAUUCUCUUUUGCUUGUUCCUUGUGGC